rnacentral:rRNA from 1 species
AGGGUUUGAUCCUGGCUCAGGAUGAACGCUGGCGGCACGCUUAACACAUGCAAGUCGAGCGGAGUUUUAUGCGGAAGAUUUCGGUUGGAAGGAUAAAACUUAGCGGCGGACGGGUGAGGAACGCGUGGGUAACCUGCCCUGUACAGGGGGAUAACACAGAGAAAUCUGUGCUAAAACCGCAUAAGCCCCCAGGACCGCAUGGUCCAGAGGGAAAAACUCCGGUGGUACAGGAUGGGCCCGCGUCUGAUUAGCUAGUUGGAGAGGUAAAGGCUCACCAAGGCGACGAUCAGUAGCCGGUCUGAGAGGAUGGACGGCCACAUUGGGACUGAGACACGGCCCAA